GCCGAGAUGGUGAAAUUGGUAUACACGUUACUUUGAGGUGGUAAUACCGUAAAAGGUAUGCGGGUUCAAGUCCCGCUCUCGGCA
rnacentral:tRNA from 1 species